CCCGCCGCCAUGCCCCCGCCCCCGCCCGCAGCAGCCCUUACUCGUCGUCCGGGGUCAGCUGCACGGGCUCGCUGGUGAACUGGGUAUCGAAGUUGUCCAGACCGUACUCGUCGGUUAUCUGGGGCUGGAAGGGCGGCAGCGCCUGCUUCUUCUCCAACUGUUGGGGACAACGCGAGAGGUCUGGAAAGAAGUAUCUGAAGCCAGAGAAGUCCUGACCCCGCGUUAAUAAAAUGCUGGCAGUACCUGGGCGGAA